GUCUUUCUUUCUUGUUAAUCUCUUUUUUUUGGCUUCAAUUUGAAGUUGGCUCUCUGGUUUCAAUUGACUUUCAAAUCUGAACAAUUUUGCUUUGCUUUUUUGGGUUUUUAGAGGGUCUUCUUUCUCUGAUUCCAACUUUCAAUUCUAAAUCUUCUGUCCCUGCUAAGCCCUACUGACGACUUGUUUUCGUUAUCUUCUGUUGUUUGGCCUUUCUCUGGUUUGCUCUUUUUUUUUUCUUUCUAGAAUUCUGCGAGUUGGUAGAGUUUGCAUCAUAAGUAUUUCCGCUGCCCAUCUUUGUCAAUUAAAUUGCUGAGAUCGAAUUAGAGGACCCUUUUAUGCUGUUUGUGGAGUGACAUUAGUCUUUUCUCUCAACUUUGAUCUCUGUAUCUUUUUUCUUAGAACCCUUCACCCAUGAGUUUUUUUUUUUUUUUUUUAGUUCCCCCUUGUUAAUUUUGCAUAAUUACGAAGGUUGAAGUAGAGGGUUUAAUUUCAAACUUUUUCUAUCCCUCUGCUUCUUGUGUGGGUCAAGAUUUUCGUCCGUGUUUUGAGAUCUGUGAACUCCAUUUUAACUUCCCAGAUCUAUGGAUUGAAGAAUUCAAAUAUUACCGGUCUUGUCUGCCAUACACCUCUCAAGGUAGAGAGAUAUUGUGUUUUUGUAUUGAUGUUUCUAGAAAUGAAGCAUAGUGGAAUUGCUCUUGUACUAGAAAUAAUACUGUUUCGGGUUGUUUCCAGUCAAAUUAAAACGGGGGUUUCCAGUCUUCUCUCUGAAAGUACAAGGCCAAAUCAAAAUGCGUCAGACGCUAAGUUCCUGUCAAAUCUACCAAUGCCUCUUUCUUUUCACCCAAUUGAAUGAAAGAUAUGUAAAUUGGUCUUUCUCCCAAACUAAAAGAAAUUACUGUAAAAAAAAAAAAAAUUUACCGUCCUAGUUAAUGCAUGGUACUACUAUGGUUGAGGCCUCAACUUAUUGAUUAGAUGUAGGAUAGAUUUGAUUUGAGUACGGAGUUUUGUUAUUCAAAGUUAUUGAAGAUUGAUGUGGUGUGUGGGCCAUUUGUAUGGGCUAGCUAUUUCAGUUUAUUUUUUAUUACAUUUUUUGUAAAUUUUUUUUGUUAGUAAUUACAUCUUUAUAUAUUACAAUUAUAAACUAUAUUAAAAAUCAGUAUACAAACAAUUACAAACUAUAUUUUCAGAAGAUAUGUAAAAGAAAAGAAUUGCUUUUUUUUUUUUCUCAAAAAAAAAAAGAAAAAAGAAUUGUUGGUAAAAGGAAAUAAUUCACAUGUGACGUCAUUAAUUUGGAUAAAGUGAAAUGUUUAAAGAAUGUGCACAUAUUUACUCAAACGAGUAAUUUUCCACUAAAUUUAUAUUUCCUGCUUAUUUGCUAAAUUAGGGGUUUUCAGAAACACAGCAACUAGUUCAGAGCCGCAACCUUUUAUCUAUCUGCAGCCGAAGACCAUGCUCUCUCUCUCUCUCUCUCUCUCCUUCUGUAACCCUAGAACAGGACCAUAUCUCCCGUCUUUGCACCAUAUCUCACCUUCUGGAAAAUCCUUGGUCACCCAGAAGCGCGGCUGCUCAAGUUUUCGUUAUGAAUAUCACCAAACUUUUGUCCAUCCCUCUGUUUCUGGAGAAAGAUGAAGAAAGGUUUGAUGAUGUUGGAGUGGAUUGUGAGAGUCUUGAUCUGUUUCGAUUUGGAUUUACCAGAUCGUUAACUACGGAUAGGAUUCAGGAAAAAUCACUGUUCUGUUCUGUGGAGAAUUCAAAGCAUUGGUCCUGCUCUGUUUCUUCACAUGUAGAUAGCGAUUUCUCGGCUGUUUAAUCUUUUCGUUUAGAUCCGGUUUUCAGGCCCUUAAUCUGAAUUUGAAUUUAGUUUAUGUUUUCAAUUGAAUUUUUAAAGUCUCCGCAAAUUUGGUUUGCCGUUUUUGGUUUUCAGAUGGUAUUCCCCAGGACUCGAACUCUGAAUUUUUUUAUCUUUUGGCCUUAACGUCCCCUCGUAGAACGAUGAUUUAUCCUUGUCCCGCUUGUUGGUUUCUUUGGUUUGCUAUUUUUCUUUCUUCGAGUUUGCAUGUUUGUUAAUUUCGCCAAUUUUGGGUUGAUUAGAGUGGUCAAAUUAGAGGAUUGGGGUGAUGUUAAGUUGUUUGCCCUGUUUUUCUUAGCAAUUCUGUCUCUCAUUUUAGAAUCCGUCGCCCAAUAAUUCUCAUGGAAUUGCAUAUAAUAACAAGGGUUGAACAAACCCACUGAAAGUUUCAAAACUAUUUCAGCUUCUUUGUUUCCAGAGCGUUCCGGCUACUGUCUCUUUUUGGCAAUUUUGGUUUUGAGACGUAGAAUCUUCGGUAAAAAUAAAGACGCAGGACGACGCUGUCCAAGGAUACAGUAAUCUAUUGGAUGAAUGAUUUUAUACUGGCGGCACGUCUUUUAUCUCAUUUGGGUAACUUAGGAUUAUAUUAACAUGUUUUUUAUUUUUUGCUAAAAGGGGUAGUUUUUCUUGUUUUACGUCUUACAUAAACCUACGUUUCUCUCUGUUUUACUCUAACCCAGACCAAGCCUCUCUCUUUCUCUGCGACCUAGAACAGGGCACCAUAGCCGCAUCUAUCGUCCUCAGUCUUCUGCAACAACAACCGCAAAAAUAUUCUUGGAAAAUCCUUGGUCAGCCAGAACCGCGCCUCAAGUUUCUGCCAUGAAUAUCAACCUUCUGUCCAUCUCUCUGUUUCUUCAGAGGGUCAAAAGAUUGGAUGGGGGAGUGCAGUGUUGGAGGCUUGAUCCUGGUUGAUGUUCACAGAUCGACGAAUAUGGAAGACUCACUACUCUGUUUUGUGGAGAACUCAAAGGAUUCCUUCUUUCUCCGUCCUUUCCUGCAAAUGGUAGAAUGGUCUUUGUUUGUUGUUAAUCUUUUGUUGGCUUCAAUUUGAAGUUGGCUCUCUGGUUUCAAUUGAAUUUCAAAUCUGAACAAUUUUGAUUUGCCUUCUUUGGUUUUUUUAGAGGGUCUUCUUUCUUAGGAUUCGAAUUUUCAAUUCUAAAUCUUCUGUCCCUGAUAAGCCCUACUGACGACCUGUUUUGGUUAUCUUUUGUUGUUUGGCCUUUCUUUGGUUUGCUCUUAUCUUUUUUUUUUUUUUUUUUUGAAGAAUUCUGCGUAAGAGUUGGUAGAGUUUGCAUCAUAAGUACCGCCGGCAAUCCUUGUCAAUUAAAUUGCGGAGAUCGAAUUAGAGGAUUCUGUUAUGCUGUUUGUGUAGUGACAGUAGUCUUUUUUCAAUUUUGAGCUCCAUUUUUUUUACAACCCUUCACGCAGGAUUUUUAUUUUUUUGCCCACCCUUGUUAAUUUUGCAUAAUUUCAAACUUUUUUCUUCCCUCUGCUUCUUGUGUGGGUCAGGAUUUUUGUCUCUGUUUUGAGAUCUGAACGGCGUUUUAACUUCCCAGAUCGAUAGUGGUGGAGGGAGUGAAGAAUUCAGAUAUUACCGGUCAUGUCCUGCUUUACACCUCUCAAGAGGAUCAUAAGGAGCAGGAAAGCAGGGAGCCCUGGACAGCAAAUUUGUCCCCAUUUUGUAAUAUAAAAAAGAAGUCACAAUUACAAGUUUGAAGAGCUUCAUUCCAUGCCUCUGACUCGGUCCCCAAGGUCAAUAAUGAUUUCAUUGACGAUUGAUGACGCUGUCGGAUUGAGCUUUGCAUGCCUGUGCCUCCGGCCGGCAGGCUGGUCAUGGUUAGCAGACCUAACAUUCGCUGCCCCCAACUUUGAGUGUCUCUCUCUCUAGGCUCUAUCUCUCUUUGGCAAAAUGGGUGGAAAGAGGGCAUCUCUGAAGUCUGGCAAAAUGGCUGUGGGAGGAGUGAAAUCUCAGAAGUUUGAUUUGAAAUCCCAAUCUGCAAAGACCAAAUCUCUGACCAAGGAAGACCCAAGGAAAGAUUUAGCCGAUUUGACAUCAGUGAUGUCUCCCAAUCAGAAAAGGGUGAUGAAAUUGCUCCAACUCCCGAAGCUUCACGGUUCCCAAAAGAAGAUGAGCACUGCUGAACCUGCUUCUGAUUCUGAUUCUGAUUCUGAUGCUAUUCAUGUUGGUCCUGAGUCAUCGGUGUGGGAUCUUCGCACUCGAGACUGGCCCGAUAAUCGUAGAUUGAGGCUUGAGUUUUUCAGGUGGGGACUGAACCCAGGGGAAUGAAGGUAGUAUAAUCUCUCAAACAGUGUUGUGAUGUCUAGUGAUGUUGAAUUUGGAAUAUAUUAGGUAUUUGAACCCAUGUGAAUGAAGUUAGUAUAAUCUCUCAAACAGUAUUAUGAUGUCUAGUGAUGUUGAAUUUGGAAUAUAUUAGGUAUUCGAACCCUGGGGAAUGAAGUUGGUAUAAUAUCGCAUACAGUAUUGGGAUGUUGAAUUUGGAAUGUAUUAGGUAUUCACCGUAUUCUGGUUUUUGAAAUCGUUUUCCUCUUUUCUUU